rnacentral:lncRNA from 10 species
GCGCACGCGGGAACUGGGAUCUCAACCCCAGGGCUAGGUGCCUCCUCCCGCUGCUUUCCGCCAGCUGCGGGGUGUGAGAUUAAUCCCCGCCGAUUAGCGCCAGGUGUACUAAGCGCUGGAUGGUUCCCUGACCAGAUGAAACAUCAGCCGAUGUUCUAAUGCCGGUCCCCUGGGCGCUGUCCCCGAGAGGGAAAACCUGUUUUCUGACCCCGGCUCUAGUCGGCCUCUGGAGGUCUGCAGCUGGGUUAUUUUACCUUUGAAACGGACGACACCUGCCCCGUGCACCCCAGCGGCUCCUCCACACGGAGAGAUGGUGUCAGUCAAAGGCCGUCUAGAUGACGAGUUUAUGAAAUUGUUCCUGGCCCGUGCCGGGCACGACCUUGCAGAGAGCCCAGAAGAUGAAACCCCAGCCCUGCCAGGAGCUCACCUGCUAAUUAGGAGGACAACGAAUCACCUCACCUCCCUAGACUUUGCUUCUCCUUUAUUCAGUGAGGGAUUGGACUAGCUGGUCCUUGAGGACUUUUCAGAAAGUCUGGUUCUGGGAGAUGACCAAUGGGAUCAUCUUAUGCUAUGAGCUUUCCUGGAAUGACAGGUAAUGGAGAGUGAGGAGAUUUUACCUGAUAUGGUCCUGUUUGCACCAUCAGCCAGCAACCUUUCUGGGAAGCGUGCUUAUUAUGUACCAACAUAAAAGCUUGAAUAUAAGGACUUUGGGAAGAUUCAAGAACAAUGUAG